UGGGGAAUAUUGCACAAUGGGCGAAAGCCUGAUGCAGCAACGCCGCGUGAGGGACGACGGCCUUCGGGUUGUAAACCUCUUUUAGCAAGGAAGAAGCGAAAGUGACGGUACUUGCAGAAAAAGCGCCGGCUAACUACGUGCCAGCAGCCGCGGUAAUACGUAGGGCGCAAGCGUUAUCCGGAAUUAUUGGGCGUAAAGAGCUCGUAGGCGGUUUGUCGCGUCUGCUGUGAAAACCCGAGGCUCAACCUCGGGCCUGCAGUGGGUACGGGCAGACUAGAGUGCGUAGGGGAGAUUGGAACUCCUGGUGUAGCGGUGGAAUGCGCAGAUAUCAGGAAGAACACCGAUGGCGAAGGCAGAUCUCUGGGCCGUAACUGACGCUGAGGAGCGAAAGGGUGGGGAGCAAACAGGCUUAGAUACCCUGGUAGUCCACCCCGUAAACGUUGGGAACUAGUUGUGGGGUCCAUUCCACGGAUUCCGUGACGCAGCUAACGCAUUAAGUUCCCCGCCUGGGGAGUACGGCCGCAAGGCUAAAACUC
rnacentral:rRNA from 1 species